CAGCGGUGGAUAUCUUGGCUCCUGUCUCGAUGACGAACGCAGCAAGACGCGAUAGGUAGUGUGACAUGCGGCAUUCCGUGAAUCAUUAACUUUUCGAACGCAACCGGCGCGCCUCUUUAAUUGGAUACGAGGUGCGUGCCCGUUUGAG
rnacentral:rRNA from 1 species